rnacentral:rRNA from 1 species
UAGAGAGAGACAUGCGCGCAUAUCAAUAAGCGGAGGAAAAGAAACUAACAAGGAUUCCCCUAGUAACGGCGAGUGAAGCGGGAAGAGCUCAAAUUUGAAAUCUUAAAGGUUUUCCCUUGACGAAUUGUAGUUUAAAGAAGUGUUUUCUGUUGAGGUUUUGGUAAAAGUUCUUUGGAAUAGGACAUCAUAGAGGGUGAGAAUCCCGUAUUUGACCUUUACUUUCAACUUUGUGAUACACUUUCAAAGAGUCGGAUUGUUUGGGAAUGCAGUCCAAAAUGGGUGGUAAAUUUCAUCUAAAGCUAAAUAUUGGCGAGAGACCGAUAGCGAACAAGUACCGUGAGGGAAAGAUGAAAAGAACUUUGAAAAGAGAGUUAAACAGUACGUGAAAUUGUCAAAAGGGAAGCGUUUGACACCAGUGUUGUUUUUCUGAAAAUCAAUUAAAGAACUGUUUAUGCUAAGUUGUUUAGACUUUAUCAGCUAACUGUUUAGUUUUGAGCUUUUCUUUAAUGCACUUUUCAGUUAACAAGUCAACAUCAAUUUCUUUUGCUGUAAAAAAGCUUGAGGAAGGUGGCUUGAGAUUCGUCUUAAGUGUUUAUAGCCUCUUGCCUAUGCAGUCGGAGAGAUUGAGGUCUGCAGCGUAGAUCCUUCGGGGCUAGAUACAUUUGUGCUAAGUUAUAGCAUUUUAUAGACAACUUGUUGACUAUGAUUAGUCAUUGUAGCUUACUCGCUUAUGUUAUUUUACCUACGCUUAGGAUGUUGAGCGCAUGUCUCUCUCU